AUUCUGCCCAAGCGGAGAAGGAUGAGAAGCUUCGACUAAGGUUCGACUCGAGCGCCAGCGAGAGAGCGUUGCCGCAGGCAACGACCUGAAGGGCGAAGCGCGCAGCGC
rnacentral:sRNA from 1 species